UAGAUGCCAAUAAAGAUUACGGAUCAAAUGGAGGAUAACUACUAACCAUUGUGUCCACUUAGAUAAAUAAACCUGCUCACAAACAAAGCACCUUAUUGUAUUUACAUUGUUGCCUCCACUAAUCCAACUAAAACAACCAGACAGUAGCUUUCCAGAGGCUGUGGGGAAUAGAAAUCAGGAUUUCUCAAACUCUCUCUCAAUUUCUUUUAAAAGAACACCCGGUUUCUUUUCUUCAAGACUGUCUUAUCCUUUCUGGAAAAUGUUUGGGAACCCAUGGCUCAGCAGGAUUACGCAAACUAGAGACCAAGGCUAAAAACCAAGGUGGGGAGGGACUGAAACACCGGACAAAACAUCGUUCCUCUGAAAACUUAGACUAAACCUUUGCAGGGACCCGCUUCCCUUGCAGGUCACACCGGGCAGACAUUUCAUUUCGGAAGGUUGUUCAAAAUCAAAUGAGCAGGAGGAAGGCAGAGAAGACCCCAAAGAGAGGCGACUUCUCCAGAAGGAACAAUAAACUACGUCCCAUACAUUCUCUGCCAAUAACACAGAACCCGCGGCUAACCCCAGAGGACCGGUGAGGGCUGGCUUGGGAUGAAUAAACACUCG